UACCAGCACCCCGAGUGGUCGGGACGUUUAUUGGGCCUAAAGCAUCCGUAGCCGGUUCUACAAGUCUUCCGUUAAAUCCAGCUGCUUAACAGAUGGGCUGCGGAAGAUACUAUGGAGCUAGGAGGCGGGAGAGGCAAGCGGUACUCGAUGGGUAGGGGUAAAAUCCGUUGAUCCAUUGAAGACCACCAGUGGCGAAGGCGGCUUGCCAGAACGCGAUCGACGGUGAGGGAUGAAAGCUGGGGGAGCAAACCGG
rnacentral:rRNA from 1 species